rnacentral:rRNA from 1 species
AGUGAACGCUGGCGGUAGGCCUAACACAUGCAAGUCGAACGGCAGCACAUUAAGAGCUUGCUCUUACGGGUGGCGAGUGGCGGACGGGUGAGGAAUACAUCGGAAUCUACUUUUUCGUGGGUGAUAACUUAGGGAAACUUACGCUAAUACCGCAUACGACCUACGGGUGAAAGCAGUUGAUCUUCGGACCUUGCGCGAUUGAAUGAGCCGAUGUCGGGUUAGAUAGUUGGCGGGGUAAAGGCCCACCAAGGCGACGAUCCGUAGCUGGUCUGAGAGAAUGAUAGGAGACACUGGAAGUGAGACACGGUCCAGACUGCUACGGGAGGCAGCAGUGGGGAAUAUUGGACAAUGGGCGCAAGCAUGAUCCAGCCAUACCGCGUGGGUGAAGAAGGCAUUCGGGUUGUAAAGCACUUUUGUUGGGAAAGAAAAGCAGCAGGUUAAUACCCAGAUGUUCUGACGGUACCCAAAGAAUAAGCACCGGCUAACUUCGUG